rnacentral:rRNA from 1 species
GAUGAACGCUGACAGAAUGCUUAACACAUGCAAGUCAACUUGAAUUUGGGUUUUUAACUUAGGUUUGGGUGGCGGACGGGUGAGUAACGCGUAAAGAACUUGCCUCACAGCUAGGGACAACAUUUGGAAACGAAUGCUAAUACCUAAUAUUAUGAUAAUAGGGCAUCCUAUAAUUAUGAAAGCUAUAAGCGCUGUGAGAGAGCUUUGCGUCCCAUUAGCUAGUUGGAGAGGUAACGGCUCACCAAGGCGAUGAUGGGUAGCCGGCCUGAGAGGGUGAUCGGCCACAAGGGGACUGGGACACGGCCCUUACUCCUACGGGAGGCAGCAGUGGGGACUAUUGGACGAUGGACCGAGAGUCUGAUCCAGCAAUUCUGUGUGCACAAUGAAGUUUUUCGGAAUGUAAAGUGCUUUCAGUUGGGAAGAAACAAAUGACGGUACCAACAGAAGAAGUGACGGCUAAAUACGUG